UUUAGUGAGGGCAGCGGAACGUAAAGCGUGGUUUCUUCCUCGGCCAGAAGCGUGGCGAUUGCCCCGUCCUUCGGGGGACGGGGGCGACGCUGGGUGCACCCGCCGAGGCGGUGCCCCCGGCUGGGGAGGGAGCAUGCACCUGACUAGGGAGCGGGUGGGCAGCUGCCCAGGCCACCAGCACCGCUGGGGCUGAGUUCUCAGCUCUCUCCCUGACCUGUCCAGGACAACGUGGCCUCGUUCACCCAAAGAUCUAGAAGGGAAAGUGAGUCCAAAGAUCUAGAAGGGAAAAAAACAGGAUGUGGAACCAACCCUGGCGGCCACCACUGAUGAGUGGAUCAAGAAAAUGUGGUGUGUUCACAGCGAGGCAUGCCGCUCAGCCCGAAGCAGAGUGCAGGCCUGUCCUUGAAACCACAUGGCUGGAACUGGAGGACUUUGUGCCCAGUGAAGCCAGCCAGGCACAGAAAGACAGCUUCCAGGAAGAAGUCCAAGUCCCCAAGGCCCCUCCACGAAGCAGAGGAGACCCCAAAGCCUGCAGCCCCAGACUCCUCCACAGAAGCAGAGGAGACCCCAAAGCCUGCAGCCCCGGCCUCAGUGCUGUCAGAGGACAGAAUUGCCGUACGGUUAGCUUAAAGAUCUAACUGCUGGGGCUGGGGCUGGGGCUCAGUGGUAGAGCACUUGCCUGGCGUGUGCAAGGCCCUGGGUUCAAUCCUCAACACUACAUAUAAAUAAAUAAAGUAAAAGACCCAUUGACAACUAAAAAAAUUCAAAACAUAAAAAAAAUUAAAAAGAUCUAAUUGCUUUUCACCCCUGCCCAUUUUGCUGGGGAUGGAACUAGGGCCACACACACCAAGACUUGCUCCUCCCUGGGCUCCAGACUCCGCAAGCUGCAGCGUAAGCUUCUGGAAAGGGGAUUCUGGACGAGCUCUUGGCUGUGGAAUGAGCAGAGGGCAUUGCACUGAUGCUGGGCAGGGGCGAGCAGGACCCCGCGCCGCCCCCGGAGCAGCCACAGGGACAGGGGCUAUUUGGGACCCAGUGAGUUUGAGGGCAGGGAUGGCGGCUGGGGACAUCAGGGAGUUAGAAGUGGUUGCUGAGUCCUCCCAGGUGUCUCUCCCCGUCCCCAUCUGAAAUGUUGGACCCCCUCGCUCUGGCUCCAGACCUCUGGCCACCUCCCUCUACAAGGCCCUCCGGGUGCUUCAGGGUGGGAGCAAGUGGCCCUGCCUAUCGUCUGUGGGACCCACCAGCUGCACCCGUGUGUUGUGGAAUUCAUGACCAGUGAACAGAACUAAAUGAAGCAGAAUGUUUUUAACCAGAACAUACAGAAUUAAUUAAAUAGGACAUUGUUACUAAAUGGAGCUCACAU